rnacentral:rRNA from 1 species
CGCUGGAAUUAAGCAUAUAAUUAAGCGGAGGAAAAGAAACUAACCAGGAUUCCCCUAGUAAGGGCGACUGAAGCGGGAAGAGCUCAAAAUGUGAAUCUAAUAGCCUUAGCUGGCUGUUCGAAUUGUGGUCUACAGAUUUGGAUUUGGAGCGCGCGGCGGGAUAAGUCCAUUGGAACAUGGCGGCAGAGAGGGUGAGACCCCCGUUCAUGCCUUCCGCGUCAACCUUAACAUUCCUUAUCAAUGAGUCGAGUUGCUUGGGAUUGCAGCUCAAAGUGGGUGGUAAAUUCCAUCUAAAGCUAAAUAUUGGUGGGAGACCGAUAGCGAACAAGUACCGUGAGGGAAAGAUGCAAAGAACUUUGAAAAGAGAGUUAAAGAGUACCUGAAAUUGCUGAAAGGGAAGCGAAGGAAACCAGUGUCGAGUUUGUGCAUAUUACUGGCGCCUAGUGGCGUCAGGCCGUGUGCUUACUCGGGUCAGUAUCGGUUUACAUCUGGGGUGAAACGGUUGCCUGCGUUUUGCGCGGCUUCUCCGACUCCGGUAAGACCGAGGCCAGUCUCGCAAGAGCUCGUGAUACUGACGAAAUGGUUUUCUUUACCCCGUCUUGAAACCGGGAACCAA